rnacentral:rRNA from 1 species
CGGCAGCACGGGUGCUUGCACCUGGUGGCGAGUGGCGAACGGGUGAGUAAUGCGUCGGAACGUGCCGAGUAAUGGGGGAUAACGCAGCGAAAGUUGUGCUAAUACCGCAUACGCCCUGAGGGGGAAAGUGGGGGAUCGCAAGACCUCACGUUAUUCGAGCGGCCGACGUCUGAUUAGCUAGUUGGUGGGGUAAAGGCCUACCAAGGCGACGAUCAGUAGCGGGUCUGAGAGGAUGAUCCGCCACACUGGGACUGAGACACGGCCCAGACUCCUACGGGAGGCAGCAGUGGGGAAUUUUGGACAAUGGGGGCAACCCUGAUCCAGCCAUUCCGCGUGAGUGAAGAAGGCCUUCGGGUUGUAAAGCUCUUUCAGCUGGAGUGAAACGGUGCGCUCUAACAUAGCGUGCUAAUGACGGUACCAGCAGAAGAAGCACCGGCUAACUACGUGCCAGCAGCCGCGGUAAUACGUAGGGUGCGAGCGUUAAUCGGAAUUACUGGGCGUAAAGCGUGCGCAGGCGGAUUGUUAAGCAAGGCGUGAAAUCCCCGGGCUUAACCUGGGAAUGGCGUUUUGAACUGGCAGUCUAGAGUGCGUCAGAGGGGGGUGGAAUUCCACGUGUAGCAGUGAAAUGCGUAGAGAUGUGGAGGAACACCGAUGGCGAAGGCAGCCCCCUGGGAUGACACUGACGCUCAUGUACGAAAGCGUGGGUAGCAAACAGGAUUAGAUACCCUGGUAGUCCACGCCCUAAACGAUGUCAACUGGUUGUUGGGGGAGUGAAAUCCCUUAGUAACGAAGCUAACGCGU